rnacentral:rRNA from 1 species
UACGGAGGGUGCAAGCGUUGUUCGGAAUUAUUGGGCGUAAAGGGCGUGUAGGCGGCCUCGUAAGUCUGAUGUGAAAGCCCCGGGCUCAACCUGGGAAGUGCAUUGGAAACUGCGAGACUUGAGUACGGGAGAGGGCAGUGGAAUUCCUAGUGUAGGAGUGAAAUCCGUAGAUAUUAGGAGGAACACCGGUGGCGAAGGCGGCUGCCUGGACCGAUACUGACGCUGAGACGCGAAAGCGUGGGGAGCAAAC